CAGACGGCCACACAUCGUCUCUCUGUCGGUGAGUUGGCAUCGGACCAGCAGCUAAUUUUCUCCUCUAAACGAUAAUUCAGUUCCUGGUGCAGGGAGGCGAGACGACCUGGAGGAGAACCACACGCCGUCGCUGCGGUACCGUUUCUACGGCUUCUUUGCGGCCUUAACAGCCUCCAUUACGGUCAUCGCCCGGGGGUACUCAGCUAACUUCUAGGUUUGGGAGGUCGAGGAGGCCGCAGAGGCGCACUAGCCUGGGGAUGAGGGGUUUGUGAUCUCUGCCAAGAACAACCUGCCUGCCGAGCAGCGGAAGAUGGUGGCCACCUUGUGUGCCACAACACGGCCACAGCUGACUGCUUCUAAGCCCUCAGCCUGAACGUGGCCCAGUCAAAGAGGAUAAGGGAGCAUUUCCACCAGGCCCUCACCCCCACUGGCCAUCACCAGCGU